GCGCCGCAUGAAGUCGAACGCACUUAGUGAUGUGGUUGCCAGGGACGAUGCAGACAUUUUAGGCAGCUAACUAACUACUACAAGUAUUUGUAACCAAGUCAAAAAAACAAAAAAGGAGGUUUUUAACCAAUGUUCAAACCAAACCUCUGACAUUGCGCCCUUGUAAAACUGCAAGAGAUAACCUGCUGCGCAGCCGCGACCCCAUGUCAAAUGUGUUUUUGAUAAAUGCCUUCCGUCUGUCUCAGCCCAACAUUGUCGAUUAGCAUCAGACUCAUCAGUUAGAGGAUGAUCUGGCCUCCUUGUUGCCCGGCCGUGUCUUUGCAUUGCCAAGCAAUUUUGCCUUGCCAAGAUUGGAUGAAGCAAACAACCUCUUUCCAAGUUAAGCUGAUUCGAUGCCAUGGCAACAAGGGAAGCUCCCAGCCCCUGUGCAAUAACGCCGGUCUGAUCAAGCCCACAUUCCUGUAUUGACCACGCUGCGCAAGAUUAAACGCAGGUGACAUUUCCGAGGUGAAAUUUGCAAUUUCCACAAAUAUGAGUUGUCUGAAACGCGGCAUGACAGCACAUAAAAUCAAUACAAAUAACCUGAAUCCCUAAUACCUUGAUCCCUGUUAGUAGAGGGAUGCAUUACAACUAAGACACUGGAAGUGAGAGCAACAGCCCAGGAGCUGAUCCCUGAUUCCUAUCGACUGGCUCCAGGCCAAACACUCCCGCAAUAACAAUUAGGUGUGAGAGUUUGUCGAUUUUCUACGGCAGCGUCGCAUUUUUCAUCACAGAGUUCUGAUGUCUCUAUACUACAUCUGAUGAAUGAAGACUCUGUUAAUGUUAUAUGGGUGAUUCUCACGAAAACUUGGUUUUAAAAAUGUCAAGCAUGAAAAUGUAAAAAUUGCUUAAAUUUACUUUUUUUCCCACCAGACAUUGAAAAACAAAGUCUGGAGUAAAUGGGAACAUUCAUUUUAAAACUUUUACUUAUCAUUUAACACUUUUUGUAACAUAAUUUAAAAAAUUAGUCCUAAAAAAUCUCAUUACCGCAACAGUCAGAAAACAUCAACACUGACAUAUUUUCAAAAUGACAUGACAAACCUGAAAGAACAUAUUUUGGAGAUUCUGCACAUGCAUUUAAAAUCAAACUAUUAUGCUUCUAUUAAUUAAAUUAACAUUUAAUAAGCAUCUGUUGCGGUAAUGAUAAUCAAAAUGUCGUGUAAGCAUUCUGACAAGACAAUAUUUCAAAUUAACUGUAAAAAAAUGAUCUUACCUGGUAGCCAUCUUGAAGUAACUGGUCCAUGUGCUUGGUCACUCAAAAUCAAACUUUAUUAAAAUUCUGUAUGUGUGCUUAAACUGUUCUCAAAAAGUGUUGCGGAGGAUGAGAACAUCAGGCAUGGACACAUCAUUUUCCUAAUUUUUCUUCAUUAUUAUUAUACAUGAAUAUUCAGUAAAUAUUUUUUCUGUCAUCUAAAGUAGUCUAGCAAAACAUCCAUUUAUUUUUUUUUAAAUAUUUUUGUGUUAAUUUGAUUAAAUUACAACAUAACGCAUGUUCAAACACAGCCGGACACAUUGCGGUAAUGAGAAUUUCAGCAGAAAAUGAGAUAAAAUUUCCAAUUAUAAAUUCUUAUGUUGAAAUCACACAUUGUGCAAG